AUUACGUCGCAAAAGCCUUCUGCAGCAGCAUGGCGGAUUUUUCGAAGUGGGCGCAGAAACACCUGUCAAGAGUUGGAGAGGACUUCGAGGAAGUAGACAAAGAUAAGAGUGGAUCUCUGGACUUCUUCGAGGUCUAUAAUGUGUUGCAGAAGUCCGGCUUUAAAGGCACGCUGGAAGAGGCAAAGGUGAGAAGAAUUUGAUUUAUUACCACUCCCUCGAAAAUUUUCCAGGAAUUUGUACAUUCCGUGUAAGUUUUUCAACCUUUUAAAUGCGGAUUUUCAAUAUUUGUUCUUUUUAAUUAUAUUUCAGAGAAUUUUCCAAUCGUUAGAUGUAGACAAGAAUGAGAAAAUAUCAAAAGAUGAAUAUGUGAAAUCUAUGGCUAAAGUUCCAAAAAUAGACUUCAAGUGGGUAUAGUACUUUUUUUUUUAAAUUUCAGUGUACAUAUUAAAAUAUUUUUUAAAUGAUUUACAUUUCCAUGAAAGCAAAAGAUAUUGCUAGGCAGUAUCUAGCUGCAGACUAUAGUUUCUACGACGAAUCGACACUCUGUAUCUGUUGCUCAUCACUUUCUUUGUGAGCGGGGCACUUAUUGUGCAUCAAUGUACAGAUUUUGGCAUUUUCCGUUGUUUAGUAAUCAAGGAAUACUGAAGCUAUUUCAUUCAUCACAUGAGCAGAUCCGUGUGCAACGUCGGCAACAUUGUGUCGUUUUUUUGUGAUUCAUCGCAAAUAGCAUACAUCUAUUUGUAAAGAAUAAACUACAUUUACAAUAAAAUCCAAAGAAAAUAACUGUCGCAUUUUCUACGUAGAUGAAAACGCCAGGAAGUACUUUAUGUGUGCAAUAUACAUGUAUAACCAAUAAAUUUUAAUUAUCUUUGCAUAACCUGAAUGGGUUUUUUUUUAUUUUAAAGAGAACACUACACAGCCUAAGAACAUUUUUUUCUUUGCAGACAAAUUGUUUUGAGGCGAGCCUUCAAUAAGCUAGAUAAAGACGGAAGUGGUUUUCUAACACGUGACGAGAUUUUGGACGCGGCCAGUAACGAGGCUGAGCUUGACGCGUCUGCCGAGAACAUCUCGGACCUGCUCAUCUAUCUCGUGACAGACGACGACAAAAAGGUUGACUUCCCCUUAACCACUGUGCAGAUAAACAUGAAAUUUAUUUUUAAAAACACAUUUUAUAUGGCUACUGAAGUAUAUUAAGCAAAUUGCUAUUUCACCUUACAGCUGUUCAUUUCUGCUAUAGUUAUUUAUAAAUCAAAUCGUUCCCUUACAGAUUGAUUACGAAGAGUUUUUGAAAAUUUGGAACGUCAAAUCCACAUCUUCCGCCAUGCGCACUCUGUUUCAAAAGCUGGAUACAGACGGAAGCGGGAAAGUGGACCGGAAAGAGCUCUUAGACGGUCUGCAGGGGGACAGCGAGCUUCACUUACAGGCGCCCAAGAUCUCUGAAAUACUAAUUAAAUGGAGCAAAAACCAUACGGGACCUUUGUCAUAUGAGGAAUUUCUCAAAGCAUAUGAAAGCGUUUGAUUUCCUGUAAGGACUCAUUGGGAGACAUCUUGAGAAGAGACAAUCAAUACAAAGUCAAUGUUGUUUUAUUUUUUAAUUCAAUGCUACAGUGGUACUAGUAUUAAUAUUCGUUGUUUAUAUAUUUAUACAAUGUAUAAAAUCGUAACACAUAGUUACAUACAAUUUUAUAUUUUCAACCAAAGUAAUAAAAUGGCUUUCGAAU
rnacentral:misc_RNA from 1 species